rnacentral:rRNA from 2 species
ACCCGAGAGGGGAGUGAAAUAGAUUCUGAAACCAUUUACUUACAAGUAGUCAGAGCACGUUAAAGUGUGAUGGCGUACAUCUUGCAGUAUGGGCCCGGCGAGUUAUGUUAAUAUGCAAGGUUAAGCAGAAAAAAGCGGAGCCCGUAGGGGAAACCGAGUCUGAAUAGGGCGACUUUAGUAUAUUGGCAUAUACCCGAAACCAGGUGAUCUAUCCAUGAGCAGGUUGAAGCUUAGGUAAAACUAAGUGGAGGACCGAACCCGUAGUACGCUAAAAAGUGCCCGGAUGACUUGUGGAUAGCGGUGAAAUUCCAAUCGAACCUGGAGAUAGCUAGUUCUCUUCGAAAUAGCUUUAGGGCUAGCCGUAUAGUAUUGUUUAAUGGGGGUAGAGCACUGAAUGUGGAAUGGCGGCAUCUAGCUUGACUGACUAUAAUCAAACUCCGAAUACCAUUAAAAUUAAGCUAUGCAGUCGGAACGUGGGUGAUAACGGUCCACGCUUGCGAGGGAAACAACCCAGAUCGUCAGCUAAGGUCCCAAAAUUGUGUUAAGUGAGAAAGGUUGUGAGAUUUCAUAACCACUUAGGAAGUUGGUUUAGAAGCAGCCACCUUUUUAAAGAGUGGGUAAUUGCUCACUAGUCAAAGAUUCUUGCGCCAAUAAUGAACGGACUCAAACACAAUACCGAAGCUACGGGCACAUUAUGUGCGGUUAGGAGAGCGGUUUUAAUUUCGUUUAAAGUCAGCCCGUUAAGGACUGGUGAAGAGAUUAAAAGUGAGAAUGCCGGCAUGAGUAACGAUUCGAAGUGAGAAUCUUCGACGCCUAUUGGGAAAGGUUUCCUGGGCAAGGUUCGUCCACCCAGGGUUAGUCAG